rnacentral:rRNA from 1 species
GACGAACGCUGGCGGCGUGCUUAACACAUGCAAGUCGAACGGAAAGGCCUGCUUUCCCUUGUGGAUUGCGGGUACUCGAGUGGCGAACGGGUGAGUAACACGUGAGUGAUCUGCCCCCAACUUGGGUAUAAGCCUGGGAAACUGGGUCUAAUUCCCGAUAGGACUGCAGGGUGGUGCCUGUGGUGGAAAACGAUUUUCUAGUGGUUGGGGAUGAGCUCGCGGCCUAUCAGCUUGUUGGUGGGGUAAUGGCCUACCAAGGCGGCGACGGGUAGCCGGACUGAGAGGGGGGACGGCCACAUUGGGACUGAGAUACGGCCCAGACACCUACGGGAGGCAGCAGUGGGGAAGAGUGCACAAUGGGCGGAAGCCUGAUGCAGCGACGCCGCGUGGGGGAUGACGGCCUUCGGGUUGUAAACUCCUUUCGACCGCGAGGAAGCCACCUGGUUGGAAGGGUGGUGACGGUAGUGGUAGAAGAAGCACCGGCUAACUACGUG